rnacentral:ncRNA from 1 species
AACGCUGAAGGCAUCUAAAGUGUCGAAGCCCCCUCCAAGAUGAGACUUCCCAUUCUUCGGAAGUAAGACCCCUCAAAGACGAUGAGGUUGAUAGGUCAGAGGUGUAAGCGCAGCGAUGUGCGAAGCUGACUGAUACUAAUAGGUCGAGGACUUAACCAG